UGGGGUGAAUGGCCCGAGCUCAAGGGGUUAGCUCAUUAAACAUCUACAAUAAAAGACUCUGCUUUUGCAUCGAAAUGGGCCUCUUGGUGAUUUGGGGGUUCCGAAUUUGGGCACAACAUUUGCUUCUAGAAUUGAACACGGGGGAAACUAUAAGGAAAAGAGAGAGACAUGGUGCCAUCUCCAUCAUCAGCAUGACUGGAUUUAGAAUUACCUAUGAGACACACCCCUGGAUGUCUGUGACGGCAUUUCUAGAGCUGUUUACACAUGUUGGGAAGACCUUCCUUGGCACCAUCCCCUGGCCUGCACUAGCAGCUUGGAUAAAAUGGGAAGGCAGGAAGCCGCACCAGCAGCCAUCUCUGUCCUUCUCGACUGUGGACUGCCCAUGCUCUGGCUGCUACGGAAGACCAUCCUCUCAAACCGUGAGCCAAAGGAUAUACUUAUAAACUGCUACGCCUCUGACUUUGGAGUGAUCAGCUGCUGCCAAUGAUGCCUCCCACCUGCUCCAUGCUGUCUCUUACGGCCACGAAGCCCGGGAGCACACCUGACCUGGAGACUCAUCCUGAAUCAGGCCCUGGGCUCUCCAAUGCCUGCAAAAGGUCUGAGCUAGCUCAGUCCCCCAGCAAGCCCACCCCUCCACACCAGACCUCCCUUAGCUCUUUACUCCCACCCUGUACAUUUGCCCCUAUGUUGGAACCAUGAAACUAAAAAGGGCCACGUUCAUGCUGGACUUCGCUUUGUGUGCGAGUCUUCCCUGUGAUGGUGCCUUUGGAGCAGGCGUUUGGUUUUAACUAAUCAGGCCAGAAACGCCACAAAUGAGUCACAUCUCACAUUCGACUUCCGGUACAGACUUCAAACAAAAGCUAGCUAGCACAUUGUUUAUGAGAAAGGCACUACAGCUGUUCACAGGAUUCCAACGGAAUGAAACACACGGGCACAAUUUCAGCAUUAUCAGAUAAAUAUGACUACAUGGCCAGUAUCUUCUCUUUAUCCUACUUCAUCUCAAUCAAUAUAAAGGCAGGGGGGUCUUUUAUAGACAUCACAUAGGCUUCUGGUCUCUGUCAGCUUGCAUUUCCUGCUAAGACAUUCAGGGUUAAGUCGGGCAUAUGUGGCAAUAAAGUGGUUACAUUUGCUAAACCAACAAACAUUCAGUUGGCCAAGCAUGCCUGGAUGUGUCCUGUUUUAUACGCAGUCAGAUGUACUUUAUCGUCUCCGAGGUGCAACAUGGCCAAGCAAAUUUAGAGGUCAGAAGUGGGAGAUUGGAUCUAGUAAGGCCCACAGAAGACGCAACCAAGACGCGGGAAUGCCCACAGAACCAAGCCCAUGGUUGCCGAACCCAGUCCAUCCUGGAUGUUGAGUUCACACAGAUCCACACAAGGUACAACCACCCCACCUGCUGACCCUGAUGAAAUACCCACCAUCUCUAAGUGAGUGCUGAUCUGGUCCCCUUGAAGACGUGCUCCCAACCUGAAACCUCAGUCUGCUCCCAAAUAAAGCAAGCAUUCUUUGCUCUAUCUCAA